rnacentral:rRNA from 1 species
GACGAACGCUGGCGGCGUGCUUAACACAUGCAAGUCGAACGGGAAGGCCCUUCGGGGUACUCGAGUGGCGAACGGGUGAGUAACACGUGGGUGAUCUGCCCUGCACUUUGGGAUAAGCCUGGGAAACUGGGUCUAAUACCGAAUAGGACCACGCGCUUCAUGGUGUGUGGUGGAAAGCUUUUGCGGUGUGGGAUGGGCCCGCGGCCUAUCAGCUUGUUGGUGGGGUAAUGGCCUACCAAGGCGACGACGGGUAGCCGGCCGGAGAGCGUGACCGGCCACACUGGGACUGAGAUACGGCCCAGACUCCUACGGGAGGGAGCAGUGGGGAAUAUUGCACAAUGGGCGCAAGCCUGAUGCAGCGACGCCGCGUGAGGGAUGACGGCCUUCGGGUUGUAAACCUCUUUCACCAGGGACGAAGCGUAAGUGACGGUACCUGGAGAAGAAGCACCGGCCAACUACGUG